rnacentral:rRNA from 1 species
UACGGAGGGGGCUAGCGUUAUUCGGAAUUACUGGGCGUAAAGCGCACGUAGGCGGAUUGAAAAGUUGGAGGUGAAAUCCCAGGGCUCAACCUUGGAACUGCCUUCAAAACUAUCAGUCUUGAGUUCGAGAGAGGUGAGUGGAAUUCCGAGUGUAGAGGUGAAAUUCGUAGAUAUUCGGAGGAACACCAGUGGCGAAGGCGGCUCACUGGCUCGAUACUGACGCUGAGGUGCGAAAGCGUGGGGAGCAAACAGG